UCCUCCGUGGCGCAAUUGGCUAGCGCGUUCGACUGUUAAACGCAUAGCGUGUGUGGCAAAUCGAGAGGUUGAAAGUUCGAGCCUUUCCGGGGGAG